rnacentral:tRNA from 1 species
GGUAUUAUACUUUAUAUAAAGAAGAUAUGAUUUGCACUCAUAAAGAAAGAUUAAAUCUUUUAUACCA